GACGAACGCUGGCGGCGUGCUUAACACAUGCAAGUCGAACGGAGCGCUUUUGAUAGAGACUUCGGUCAAUGGAUAAAGUUGCUUAGUGGCGGACUGGUGAGUAACGCGUGAGGAACCUGCCUUUCAGAGGGGGAUAACACAUGGAAACGUGUGCUAAUACCGCAUAGACGUACGGACGGCAUCGUAUGUACGGGAAAGGAGCAAUCCGCUUGAAGAUGGGCUCAUGUCCGAUUAGGUUGUUGGUGAGGUAACGGCCCACCAAGCCUGCGGUCGGUAGCCGGACUGAGAGGUUGAACGGCCACAUUGGAACUGAGAUACGGUCCAGACUCCUACGGGAGGCAGCAGUGGGGAAUAUUGGGGCAAUGGGCGAAAGCCUGACCCAGCGACGCCGCGUGAGGGGAAGAAGGUCUUCGGAUUGUAAACCUUUGUAGACAGGGACGAAGAAAUGACGGUACCUGUAAAGUAAGCCAACGGCUAAACUACGUG
rnacentral:rRNA from 1 species